rnacentral:rRNA from 1 species
ACUCCUACGGGAGGCAGCAGUGGGGAAUAUUGCGCAAUGGGGGAAACCCUGACGCAGCAACGCCGCGUGAGUGAUGAAGGCCUUUGGGUCGUAAAGCUCUGUCAGAGGGGAAGAAAUGAUAUAGUGCUAAUACCACUUUAUCUUGACGGUACCCUCAAAGGAAGCACCGGCUAACUCCGUGCCAGCAGCCGCGGUAAUACGGAGGGUGCGAGCGUUGUUCGGAUUUAUUGGGCGUAAAGCGCGUGUAGGCGGUUUUUUAAGUCUGAUGUGAAAGCCCCGGGCUCAACCUGGGAAGUGCAUUGGAUACUGGGAGACUUGAAUACGGGAGAGGGUAGUGGAAUUCCUAGUGUAGGAGUGAAAUCCGUAGAUAUUAGGAGGAACACCGGUGGCGAAGGCGGCUACCUGGACCGAUAUUGACGCUGAGACGCGAAAGCGUGGGGAGCAAACAGGAUUAGAUACCCUGGUAGUCCACGCCGUAAACGAUGAGUACUAGGUGUUGCGGGUAUUGACCCCUGCAGUGCCGCAGCUAACGCAUUAAGUACUCCGCCUGGGAAGUACGGUCGCAAGACUAAAACUCAAAUGAAUUGACGG